UGCUUUUUCCAGCUGCCAGCUGUGGCAGACUUCUCUACCAGUGAGACCAUGGGGCACUGUGCAUCCCUCUGUCUGUGGGGCUCAGCUCUGUGUG
rnacentral:miRNA from 12 species